rnacentral:rRNA from 1 species
UACAGAGGUCUCAAGCGUUGUCCGGAUUUAUUGGGCGUAAAGAGCGUGUAGGCGGCCUGAAAGGUCAGCUGUGAAAACUCGGGGCUCAACCCCGAGACGUCGGUUGAAACCAUCUGGCUAGAGUCCGGAAGAGGAGUGUGGAAUUCCCGGUGUAGCGGUGAAAUGCGCAGAUAUCGGGAGGAACAUCUGUGGCGAAGGCGGCCAUCUGGACCAGCACUGACACUGAGGCACGAAAGCGUGGGGAGCAAACAGG